GCUCAGGAUGAACGCUGGCGGCGUGCUUAACACAUGCAAGUCGAACGAUGAAGCCCAGCUUGCUGGGUGGAUUAGUGGCGAACGGGUGAGUAACACGUGAGUAACCUGCCCUUAACUCUGGGAUAAGCCUGGGAAACUGGGUCUAAUACCGGAUAGGAGCGUCCACCGCAUGGUGGGUGUUGGAAAGAUUUAUCGGUUUUGGAUGGACUCGCGGCCUAUCAGCUUGUUGGUGAGGUAAUGGCUCACCAAGGCGACGACGGGUAGCCGGCCUGAGAGGGUGACCGGCCACACUGGGACUGAGACACGGCCCAGACUCCUACGGGAGGCAGCAGUGGGGAAUAUUGCACAAUGGGCGAAAGCCUGAUGCAGCGACGCCGCGUGAGGGAUGACGGCCUUCGGGUUGUAAACCUCUUUCAGUAGGGAAGAAGCGAAAGUGACGGUACCUGCAGAAGAAGCACCGGCUAACUACGUGCCAGCAGCCGCGGUAAUACGUAGGGUGCGAGCGUUAUCCGGAAUUAUUGGGCGUAAAGAGCUCGUAGGCGGUUUGUCGCGUCUGUCGUGAAAGUCCGGGGCUUAACCCCGGAUCUGCGGUGGGUACGGGCAGACUAGAGUGCAGUAGGGGAGACUGGAAUUCCUGGUGUAGCGGUGGAAUGCGCAGAUAUCAGGAGGAACACCGAUGGCGAAGGCAGGUCUCUGGGCUGUAACUGACGCUGAGGAGCGAAAGCAUGGGGAGCGAACAGGAUUAGAUACCCUGGUAGUCCAUGCCGUAAACGUUGGGCACUAGGUGUGGGGACCAUUCCACGGUUUCCGCGCCGCAGCUAACGC
rnacentral:rRNA from 1 species